rnacentral:rRNA from 1 species
CCUACGGGGGACUGCAGUGAGGAAUAUUGGUCAAUGGACGAGAGUCUGAACCAGCCAAGUAGCGUGAAGGAUGACUGCCCUAUGGGUUGUAAACUUCUUUUAUAUGGGAAUAAAAUGUUCCACGUGUGGGAUUUUGUAUGUACCAUAUGAAUAAGGAUCGGCUAACUCCGUGCCAGCAGCCGCGGUAAUACGGAGGGUCCGAGCGUUAUCCGGAUUUAUUGGGUUUAAAGGGAGCGUAGGUGGAUUGUUAAGUCAGUUGUGAAAGUUUGCGGCUCAACCGUAAAAUUGCAGUUGAAACUGGCAGUCUUGAGUACAGUAGAGGUGGGCGGAAUUCGUGGUGUAGCGGUGAAAUGCUUAGAUAUCACGAAGAACUCCGAUUGCGAAGGCAGUUCACUGGACUGCAACUGACACUGAGGCUCGAAAGUGUGGGUAUCAAACAGGAUUAUAUACCCCUGUAGUC